UUUCAAGGCAUGCCCUUCCCUCCAACAAGUGUUUCUAUUAUUUACUAAUGCAUUUUAAAAAAGGAAGUUGGGACUUUUUUUCUUUUGAAGAGGGAAAGGGCUAAAUAACAUAUUAUGCUACCAUAAGUCACUGUUGGAUUAAAAAAAAAAAUUAGCUAUUUUACUUAUUUGGUUAAUAGCCCCAAUUUUUCAAACAUGACCUCUGUUUAGACAUGUUUUACUUACGGCUGUUUCAUGUCUGCAAAAUUACAGUCAUUUGCACAUUGUUAUUAUCGUGAGUGGAAGACAGAUUGCAUUUAACACUGGGUGGGGGAAGGGUUAUUAAGGGAAAUGAUCUGCUACGGUCAGCACAUAAAUUCAGCCUGAAGAAAAUUGCUUCUGAAUAGUUGGUCUUUUAGCUCGCCAAGGUCUGGUCACUGGUUUUUCAUUACAUGGAUGUCUUAUGCACCUAACCUCAGAAAAUGUGGAGGGCUGACUAUACUACUGUUACUACUACUAUAACUAGAUUGCUUUUCACCACAGUUUGAGAUCCA
rnacentral:lncRNA from 11 species